rnacentral:lncRNA from 1 species
GUUGCAGAAAAAUGGUUAAAAUAAGCAAAAAUUGGUUCAAAUUAUUAAAAAAAAAGAAAAUCAGUCAAAAUGUUUCAAAAAUAUUGGCAAUUAAAAAUGAAAAUAGGGAAAAUAUCCAACAUUUAUUUAACAUAGUUGGGAAUGAGAAACAAAAACACUAUUUCACAAUAAGACGUCAUCAAGAAUCAUGUUUUCAAGCAAUUGUUUGAUCAUUGCCUUGAAAAUUAAAUAAAUAAAUGUAUUUUGUGGGAAAAAGACAUAUUUUCAACCAAGCUGACGAUCGUCGUGGAAACUGUAACCUGUGUGUGUGUGUGUGUGUGUCCUCAGGUGAUGGAGAUAGACUUCAGUGGUUCUUUGUCCUCAGAGGGCAGGACUGGUUAGUGGGAGUGUAUAAAAAAUAAAAAGCCCUAUAAAAGCCAUGCAGGGCUUUAAUCUCCCAGUCCUCCCAGUGCAGCUGUUUAUCCACUCCAUCAUCAUGCUUGUUCGAGCUGUGCUGCAGACGUCCCUCCUCCUCUGGUUGGCUCAGCAGACUCUGCAAGGCGCUGUUGCAGGAGUCCAACCUCAGAGUGUGUCAUGGGGACAAGGACUGCCAGCUAGAGGUCUGGGUGUUGGAGUGAAACCUGGAGUGGGACGUUACGGCGGCGCUCAGCUUGGACUUGGAGGAUACAGGACUCUUGGAUUAGGAGGGAGAGCUGGUAUGAGACAUGGCGGCUACGGGGUUCAAGGAGUCUACGGUGCUGGUCUUGGUACAGGAAUGGGUCUAGGGACUGGACUCACGAACGGGCUUGGUUUGGGUUUGGGUCAGGGUGGAAAACGAGUCUAUGGGACUGGCCUGGGAACUGUACCUGGAUAUGGAGCUUUGGGAGCGAUUGGCUAUCCCGGGCUUCGUCCUGGACACUCACAGUAUCCCAGUGGACAAGGGUCCAAGCAGCCAAAAACGGGUUUGGGUCCAGCUGAGACGGACAACCUGAGCCAAACUGUUCCAGAUCUUAGGAGAGAAAGGAUCAGAGCUGGAGUUCCCACAAUUCGAAAACCAAACAAAGGGCUUGGACCUGAAAUUCAAGGUCUACUCAGGCCAAAUGUUCCUGAAUCGAAUUACCAGAGAGAGCGCAAAAGUAUUAAUUUUUUAAAUCGUGGUGAAUCCACGACUCCUCUUAACGUACACACCACACACCGUAGAGAAAGCCAUGAAUCUACAGCCCUUAAGAUUAAAGGUUUUACACCAGCAGCUGAAAGUGCAGGAAGACAACCUUCGGUUAAUCAAGAACCCAUCAGACGUACAACCUCGGCUUCUUCUCAGACACCGAUCAUCAGAAACAACGAUCGGUUCCCCCUUAUUAAUCUGCGACCUCCAAACUGUGGACCGUCCGUUCAUGGAUCUGAUAGAUCCGAACUUCUUCGGCAAAAACUUGUUGGUUCACAAAGUUCCGUUCCUCAGCUGAACGUUGGCGUAGUCAGUCAACAAAAUGCUCACAGAGAUCAGCAACUACUUCCACAAGAUGUGAGGAGCAAUAUGUUCUCUACUCAGAAGUCCAGAGGGUUUUCAUCCACAGUUAUAGACAGGCAUGGCAGAGAGGGACCUUUAAGUAAGGACGCAGAAGGACCUGGGACUCGUAGGACUUUUACUUUGGAGCAGCAUCCACAUGAGUCGAUCAGUCUUCCAAGAAGUGGAAAUCCAGAACCUCUGAUUCCAGGAAUCACCUCCAUCGCCGGCCUGGAAGUCCAGCCCUCGACCACAGAAGGUUGGGAUGUGAAAGAAUUUUCCCAAAGUGUGCAUGACGUCAAAAAGUUAAAAACUUCCCCAGGGCAGGAUGGAACGAACGCCAAGGGAACAAGUUAUGGUGGCGGAGUAGGAAACUACCUGGGAACUGGCCUGGGUGCUGGAGGCUAUGGAGCAGCUUUGGGACAAGGCGGCUAUCUGGGAGGAGCUGCUGGAAAACUGGCAGCAGGAUACGGAGAUGGAAUGACUGGAUAUCUCGGACCCAUGGCAGGUUACGGGAAUGGUUACGGGGAUGCUUAUGGAGCUGGGCUCGGUUACCCUGCAGAUUUAGCCGUUGGUCUGGAGAACAAAGCAGGGAAAAGUGAAGGCCUCGGUACAGGAGGAUUAGUUGGUCCCCUGCAGGGAGCGUAUGGAGGAGCUGCUCAGGUGCCUUUUGCCAACACUCCAGUCCUUCCUGUGGGACUAGAAGGUGAUGGUGGUUAUCCGUACAACACUCAGCAGCUCAGUUUGACCGCUGAAGCUGCCAAAUCUGCCAGUAAAUAUGAAGCUGGUCCAGGAUUCAGAGCUCAACAAGCUGCAGGUUUGUUGGGACCGAAUCAAGACGUCUUGGGGGAGCAGACCGGAAAAUAUGGCGGUGUGAACGCAGCCCUUGGUAACGGUUACAAAGCCUAAUACAAACAACCUGGAGGUCCUCAGCUGGAUGGUCGAGCUCUGUACUACGUUGAGUGUAAUUCGUUUGUAAGGCUUUCCCUCUGUAUGUUUUUUUUUCUAUUUUGUUUUACAGUAUUGUUUGUUCCUCACUUUGUUUACUUCUGUCUCGUUUGUCUGAAACCUCGUGUAACCUCCUCCCAUAUCAUUUCUACAUGUCUUGUCGAGUUAUAAACACAUGUUACAUGCAGAAGUAGACAGAUUUUGUGUCAAUAUUCAAAAAAUUGGUUGUACUGUUGUGAUGACUCAGCAGUUUUAAAGACAAUAAAUGUCAUUGCCAAAUGUUGUAC